ensembl:rRNA 5S_rRNA 5S ribosomal RNA
UCCCGCGGCGCUCGCGGGCAGCCACGGGAGUGCAGACCUCUACAUGGUCGCCCACUGAAGCUAAGCAGGGCUGUGCCCGGUUAGUACCUGGAUGGGAGACCACAUGGGAAAGCUAGGUUGCUGCCGGAA